GAACCACGCUCCUACACUGUGCAAACACCAGAGGGUGAGGUGCUCAGGAGAAACAGGAGACAUCUGAGGAAAAUACAGCCAAGCCUGUUUAAGGACACAUCCAUGGACCCAGAUGUCUGUUCACGCCCAAGAGCCAGUUGUGCCACCAGCAAGUGACACCCCACAACACUCACCUCCUGCAACUUGCUGCGAGACCUCACACCAAGCACAUCUACUGCGGGUCGGUUGCCUGUUAUGCAACAUCCCCCAAAAACACGAAGAGGAGAGUCCUGGCCCCUAGCCCUGCCAGUGUAGCAGAAAUGAUGAGGAUGAUGAUGCAGCAGCCGUUCUUCUCUGCGUGAGUAGCUUAAUGUUGUUCGUGUGUAAUUUACGUUGAGUAGGCUAACCACGUUAUUACAUUAAUGCAUGUAAGGUGAACUAGCAAACAUCAUCAUAGCUACAUGCUGCUGUCUUCUUGUUUGAUGGCAGAUACUCCCUUCACAAUGGCCAAAAAGGCUAAAAUGACCAAAGAAAAAGUGGAAAACAGUUAAACAUGAGAGGUUUUUGGACAAAGUUUGUGUUUUUUCCAUUGUUUAAGCACUGCUUCCAGCCAACAGUGAUACCAUAUAUGCCCCAUAGCUGCAGAAAAGGCUAACAUUGUUAUCUUUUUACAAAAAAAACCAGCUGAACAUGAGAGGUUUUUGGACCAAUUUUGUGUUCUCCAUUCUUUAAGCACCGGUUUAAGCACCGGCACUGUUUCAAAAGUACCGAUUUGGCACCGGUAUCGGAUAAAACCUAAACGAUACCCACCCCUACUCUUCACUGUCAUUGACCUACAUCAGUCAUCAGGACAUUUUAUAAUAAGAACACUUGGAGGGAAAGUUGUUCAAGCAACAGUGUGUGGCGGCCGAACACAUCAGCAGCCAUCGUAGCCUG
ensembl:lncRNA